AACGAACGCUGGCGGCGUGGAUAAGACAUGCAAGUCGAACGGAGUGCAUUCAGUAGCAAUAUUGACUGCGCUCAGUGGCGAAAGGGUGCGUAACGCGUGAGCAAUCUGCCGAAGAGUGGGGAAUAGCUCGCCGAAAGGCGAAUUAAUACCGCAUACCGCCCAAUUGAACACUCAAUUGGGCGAAAGUUGGAGAAAUCCGGCGCUCAUCGAUGAGCUCGCGGCCUAUCAGCUAGUUGGUGGGAUAAUAGCUCACCAAGGCAAUGACGGGUAGCUGGUCUGAGAGGACGACCAGCCACACUGGAACUGAGAUACGGUCCAGACACCUACGGGUGCAGCAGUCGAGAAUUUUUCUCAAUGGGCGAAAGCCUGAAGGAGCGACGCGCGUGAGGAUGAAGUCUUCGGAUUGUAACUCCUGUCAUUGGUGAACAAAGCCUGGCAGCUAAAUGCUAUCUAGGUGUGAUA
rnacentral:rRNA from 1 species